GACGAACGCUGGCGGCGUGCUUAACACAUGCAAGUGGAGCGACGAACCAGGGCUUGCCCUGGGGCAGAGCCGCGAACGGGUGAGUAACACGUGGGUAACGUGCCCCGAUGACUGGGACAACCCGGGGAAACCCGGGCUAAUACCGGAUGUGCCCCCUCACAUCAGUGAGGUGUGUAAAGGAAGCUUCGGCCUCCGCAUCGGGAUCGGCCCGCGGCCCAUUAGCUUGUUGGUGAGGUAUCGGCUCACCAAGGCUGCGAUGGGUAGCUGGUCUGAGAGGACGAUCAGCCACACUGGGACUGAGACACGGCCCAGACUCCUACGGGAGGCAGCAGUGGGGAAUCUUGCGCAAUGCGCGAAAGCGUGACGCAGCAACGCCGCGUGGGGGAAGACGGCCUUCGGGUUGUAAACCCCUUUCAGUUGGGACGAAGGUCGGGCGGUUAACAGCCGUUCCGGCUGACGGUACCUUCACAAGAAGCCCCGGCUAACUACGUG
rnacentral:rRNA from 1 species